rnacentral:rRNA from 2 species
ACGGAAAGGCCUCUAGCUUGCUAGAGGUACUCGAGUGGCGAACGGGUGAGUAACACGUGGGUGAUCUGCCCUGCACUGUGGGAUAAGCCUGGGAAACUGGGUCUAAUACCAUAUAGGACCGCAUCUUGGAUGGUGUGGUGGAAAGCUUUUGCGGUGUGGGAUGAGCCUGCGGCCUAUCAGCUUGUUGGUGGGGUAAUGGCCUACCAAGGCGGCGACGGGUAUCCGGCCUGAGAGGGUGUACGGACACAUUGGGACUGAGAUACGGCCCAGACUCCUACGGGAGGCAGCAGUGGGGAAUAUUGCACAAUGGGCGCAAGCCUGAUGCAGCGACGCCGCGUGGGGGAUGAAGGCCUUCGGGUUGUAAACUCCUUUCGCUAUCGACGAAGCCACUUG